AUGCCACCAGGGCCCAUACACAUCUUGCUCAGGCUCCGCACAGUAUAUAAAGAGCAAGAUGUUAUGCUUUUACCUAAAUCCCCAAUCCGAAACCCUGGCUCCUCUCUCUGCUGUGCGCCCCCCCACACCAGCGGCUACCACACCGAAUCCUCAGCGCCUGUGGUAACAAAGCGCAUGAACUACAUGUACAUUGGAGCUGUUUGUGAUGAGGGAUCUCCAGGCUCGGCAUCAUCAAGAACAAGAACCACUGAGCCAAAGAUGAAGUUACUUGGGUACCUGCAAGAAAUAAAGACCGGGAAAGUGUUUGGGCCUGUAGUUGUAGUCCUCCACUCCGUGGAGUUCCAGAAGAGGAGUCUGCCCCAUGCACAUAUCCUUGUUUGGCAGAAAAAAGAUAAUGGCCAAGGAUCUGCGUCCACUGAUGUUGAUGCCGAUGCUCCUGCGAUUGCAGCUGUUAACACCAUGGAGACUGCACUUCUGCAGACAUAA
rnacentral:rRNA from 1 species